AAGGGGAAUUACGCAGUUUUGUAAAAAUUAUAUAACGCAAAAGUGUAACUCCCCUUUCAUACCUUGCUUGUUUGAGUAGACAUAUUGUAAGCUAUAUCGCAUAGUUUGUUAGUUACUAAGAUACAGAGUAUAUUAAAUUUUAUCAAUAAGUUACCAAGUGAGUGUACGUGGCAAAAACAGAUCCCUGAAAUGUCGUUUUUCGUUCAUGGUGUGUCAAUCGGUAUUGCCGUAGCAGUCACUUUGGUCGUAGUGAUGUUCGAGUUCUGGCAAGAUCGGAACGUACCGGAACCACAAGAGGCACGUGGAAGACGUCCGCCGAGGAGAAAUUGAAUAUUACCACAAGAAAUAAGAGUUUUACUUCUUUAUUUAUGGUGAUGGUGCAUAAUCGAGCAAUAAUAAUGUAACUACAUUAUUUUAUAUUGGAAUGUAAUAUAAUUUCGUUUUACAUAUUAAAUUAUGUAAUAUAAUCGGUUCUUUAAUGUGCCUUAUGUAAAUUAUACUAUAUUCGGCUUCUCACGGUUGCUGAUACAAAUAUACUACAGAAUUUAUUUAUAUACAACGUUCACAGCUUUUUGUCAUUAGACAAUACAGACCACUAUGUCCCUGUAUUUUAA